CAUAAUAAUCCACUAGCUCCUCAAAGCUUCUAUCUGCUCCUUGAAAAAUUUUCCAUGGAAGGCAAAGGGCUCAAGAGUUUCGUUGUCAUUGUGCUCGUCCUGGGUCUAGUUCUUGAACAGACCCACCAAGUGGAAGCUGAACACCCAUGGUGUUGCGAAACUGCCCAGGGGAAAAAGUUUUUUAAUGACUGCGUUAAAAAGGGAAUCGAAAUUGGCUUUUGUGCAAGCGGCUCAGGCUGCAUCCUUCAGGUUUAUCAUGACAACUGCUUUGGCCGAUGGAGAUGAAAAUACCGUGUAUAUCUUAUAAGUAAGCAACUGUGCGCACGCGAUCGAGGGGAUUUCACUUAGAAGUGAAGGUCAAACUGUUCUCGUGUUUGCUACUGAAAGCCCAGGCCCAUUCCUGUGCGUGCUCAAUAAUUGGUUGUCAGAUUACCUCCGUUUUUGUACGUUUGACGUUAGGACAUCUUGCUUAGUUCAUUUUUGAACUAAACAACAUCUAUUAAUGUCAAAUACAAAACCAGAGUACGUUUAUCCAAGAUGGUGUGCCAUGUCAUUUUCGUUCUGCUUCUUGAUUGCCUUCUUUGUUUCAUUUCGAUCAAUAGUUUCUUUCGUUGUGAUGUUACCUAUUUUAUCUUCAAAUAAAGUUUGCUCCUCUCGAGGUGUA